rnacentral:rRNA from 1 species
AUUGAACGCUGGCGGCAGGCCUAACACAUGCAAGUCGAGCGGAUGAAGGGAGCUUGCUCCUGGAUUCAGCGGCGGACGGGUGAGUAAUGCCUAGGAAUCUGCCUGGUAGUGGGGGAUAACGUCCGGAAACGGGCGCUAAUACCGCAUACGUCCUGAGGGUGAAAGUGGGGGAUCUUCGGACCUCACGCUAUCAGAUGAGCCUAGGUCGGAUUAGCUAGUUGGUGGGGUAAAGGCCUACCAAGGCGACGAUCCGUAACUGGUCUGAGAGGAUGAUCAGUCACACUGGAACUGAGACACGGUCCAGACUCCUACGGGAGGCAGCAGUGGGGAAUAUUGGACAGAGGGCGAAAGCCUGAUCCAGCCAUGCCGCGUGUGUGAAGAAGGUCUUCGGAUUGUAAAGCACUUUAAGUUGGGAGGAAGGGCAGUAAGUUAAUACCUUGCUGUUUUGACGUUACCAACAGAAUAAGCACCGGCUAACUUCGUG